rnacentral:rRNA from 1 species
GCUUGUUGGUGAGGUAAUGGCUCACCAAGGCGUCGACGGGUAGCCGGCCUGAGAGGGUGACCGACCACACUGGGACUGAGACACGGCCCAGACUCCUACGGGAGGCAGCAGUGGGGAAUAUUGCACAAUGGGCGAAAGCCUGAUGCAGCAACGCCGCGUGAGGGACGACGGCCUUCGGGUUGUAAACCUCUUUUAGCAAGGAAGAAGCGAAAGUGACGGUACUUGCAGAAAAAGCGCCGGCUAACUACGUGCCAGCAGCCGCGGUAAUACGUAGGGCGCAAGCAUUAUCCGGAAUUAUUGGGCGUAAAGAGCUCGUAGGCGGUUUGUCGCGUCUGCUGUGAAAACCCGAGGCUCAACCUCGGGCCUGCAGUGGGUACGGGCAGACUAGAGUGCGGUAGGGGAGAUUGGAACUCCUGGUGUAGCGGUGGAAUGCGCAGAUAUCAGGAAGAACACCGAUGGCGAAGGCAGAUCUCUGGGCCGUAACUGACGCUGAGGAGCGAAAGGGUGGGGAGCAAACAGGCUUAGAUACCCUGGUAGUCCACCCCGUAAACGUUGGGAACUAGUUGUGGGGUCCAUUCCACGGAUUCCGUGACGCAGCUAACGCAUUAAGUUCCCCGCCUGGGGAGUACGGAAU